CUUGAUUGGUUGUGUUUUCGCUAUCGAGCAAAAUGUCUCAGGUGUAUGAAAACAUCUUUCGUGACGCUCUGAAAGAUUUCAGAGAAUGACCUGAUUUCAGGCUAUUGUAAUUCGUUGGAGGAGGUGGAAACACUUCUCGAUCAGCUGAAAACUGUGGGGUUUUCAUACUGCGUGAGAAGUAGUCGUUUUAAAGAGCCAUCUUCAGAUGUUAUGAAAAGUAAAACAAAGCAUUUCUUCAAGCAAAUGCAGGGACAUGUCCCUAUCCCCUUUUUUGGUUGUGCAUUUGCAGUGGAGAGUGUGUGGUCAAGGCACUAUGUUUUGGGGCCAAAAUACUAUAAAAGUAAAGAGUCUAGUGUACCUGAGCACUUGGUAAUAUCAUGCUGUGUUAAGAUAGACUUACUUUCCAUAAAACAAGUUAGUUACAGGGAAAGUUUAUUAAAUAAAUUUUAUAGUAGUUCUUUACCCUCUUUAGGAAGACCAUGUGACUCCUCGUAAGAGAUUAAGGAUCAUGGAUACUAGAAAAUCCAACUGCCCAGCAAGUUUAAAUAUGAAGUGUAUAAGGGUGUAUCCUGAUUACAGUAUGCACUCAGCAACUGAACACAGGGAUACCAAGGCAAAAGUCAGUAUCCAGUUUGGGUUCUGCUUGGAGAAAAUUUUACAUGAUCAGUUGACAGUAUACUUUAAAAUCUAUUGUUUUUAAUGCUCUUAAUUAAAUAAUUGAUACAUUUUUGUCUUACAGGUUCUUGCAAGUCUACAGAAAGAUUUGGCAUUGCCAUGCUCGCCGAAGAGCUACCUACAUUAUUAUUUGACUGCUUCCCUAGCAAGUGCACACACACACACACACAUGCUACUGAAAGUGUUGAAGCAAGUGGGUACAUACAUCCUUCACUUGUAAAGGAAAUCAAAAACUUAGUACUCAGUGGAAUGACAUCUCUCAAAGUCAUUAAGAUGGCUCUAGAUAGAUUUGUUGAAAUCAAUUUCACUGGGACACACAGACCAGGUCAAAUGAAUACUACCUUUUACCCCACAGAGAAAACUAUUUACAGUCACAUUUAUCGGACCCUUUAUGGUACGAAUAAAGUAUUGUUUGACGAGACUAGACUGCAGAAUCAAGUUGAUGAGUGGCACAAAGACUCGAGCAAUCACAUGAUUUAUUAUAGACAUUGUAUGGGAGCCAAUGGAGAAGUGAAACCAUUACUUUUUUGCUAUCAGAGCAGUUGGCAGAGAGAUCUUUUGAAGAAGUAUGGGGGUAGUUGUUUGUUAGAUGCAACAUACAAAACAUCAUCAUAUGAUAUUCCUUUAUUUUUUAUAGCUGUGAAGAGUAAUGUGGGCUAUUUGGUUGUCGUUUUUUUUUUUUUCAUUCAGAUUGAAAAUGCAAGAUCCAUUCAUGAAGCACUAGACAUUUUCAAGGACUGGAACAAGGAUUGGAAUCCCCUCUGUUGGGUUACUGAUUUCUCGGAGUCGGAGAUAAAUGCAAUUGAGCAAGCAUUCCCUCAGACAAAAGUUUACUUGUGCCUUUUCCAUUGAAAACAGGCAUGGGGAAGAUGGUUGGAAAAAAAAAGAUAAUCUACGUGUACCAAAUGACAUGAAGACAUUUCUAGACAUGUGGCAAGAAAUUUCAGAAUCACCAACAGAGAGAGAAUUUAGAGAUCACGUAGAAGAGUUGCGAACGCAUGAGGUUUCUCGGAGAAACGAGCGUGCAUGGCCAUACUUUCAACAGCAAUGGCUAACGGUAUGUGAAAGAUGGGUGAAAGCGUAUGAGGACAAGGGCAGAUUUGCAACCAUUGACACUACAAAUGGAGUUGAAGCCAUGAACAAGGUUGUAAAACAUUUUUUCCUUAAACACAAUUCAGACAGGACUUUAACUGGGGUUACUAAGGUUAUAAUAAACCAGUUUCUUCCAAGCCUAAUUAGAAAGUACUGUCUGCAGAAUUAUGCCAUCAAAGCUUAUAACAAAGAUGUUCCACUGUUUUUGCAUAAAAAAAACAAACAA